AGCGAACGCUGGCGGCAGGCUUAACACAUGCAAGUCGAACGGGCUUCUUCGGAAGUCAGUGGCAGACGGGUGAGUAACACGUGGGAACGUGCCCUUCGGUUCGGAAUAACUCAGGGAAACUUGAGCUAAUACCGGAUACGCCCUUUUGGGGAAAGGUUGACUGCCGCAGGAUCGGCCCGCGUCUGAUUAGCUUGUUGGUGGGGUAACGGCCUACCAAGGCGACGAUCAGUAGCUGGUCUGAGAGGAUGAUCAGCCACACUGGGACUGAGACACGGCCCAGACUCCUACGGGAGGCAGCAGAGGGGAGUAUUGGACAAUGGGCGCAAGCCUGAUCCAGCCAUGCCGCGUGAGUGAUGAAGGCCUUAGGGUUGUAAAGCUCUUUUGUCCGGGACGAUAAUGACGGUACCGGAAGAAUAAGCCCCGGCUAACUUCGUG
rnacentral:rRNA from 1 species